GACGAACGCUGGCGGCGUGCCUAAUACAUGCAAGUAGAACGCUGAAGAGAGGAGCUUGCUCUUCUUGGAUGAGUUGCGAACGGGUGAGUAACGCGUAGGUAACCUGCCUUGUAGCGGGGGAUAACUAUUGGAAACGAUAGCUAAUACCGCAUAACAAUGGAUGACACAUGUCAUUUAUUUGAAAGGGGCAAUUGCUCCACUACAAGAUGGACCUGCGUUGUAUUAGCUAGUAGGUGAGGUAACGGCUCACCUAGGCGACGAUACAUAGCCGACCUGAGAGGGUGAUCGGCCACACUGGGACUGAGACACGGCCCAGACUCCUACGGGAGGCAGCAGUAGGGAAUCUUCGGCAAUGGGGGCAACCCUGACCGAGCAACGCCGCGUGAGUGAAGAAGGUUUUCGGAUCGUAAAGCUCUGUUGUAAGUCAAGAACGAGUGUGAGAGUGGAAAGUUCACACUGUGACGGUAGCUUACCAGAAAGGGACGGCUAACUACGUGCCAGCAGCCGCGGUAAUACGUAGGUCCCGAGCGUUGUCCGGAUUUAUUGGGCGUAAAGCGAGCGCAGGCGGUUUGAUAAGUCUGAAGUUAAAGGCUGUGGCUCAACCAUAGUUCGCUUUGGAAACUGUCAAACUUGAGUGCAGAAGGGGAGAGUGGAAUUCCAUGUGUAGCGGUGAAAUGCGUAGAUAUAUGGAGGAACACCGGUGGCGAAAGCGGCUCUCUGGUCUGUAACUGACGCUGAGGCUCGAAAGCGUGGGGAGCGAACAGGAUUAGAUACCCUGGUAGUCCACGCCGUAAACGAUGAGUGCUAGGUGUUGGAUCCUUUCCGGGAUUCAGUGCCGCAGCUAACGCAUUAAGCACUCCGCCUGGGGAGUACGACCGCAAGGUUGAAACUCAAAGGAAUUGACGGGGGCCCGCACAAGCGGUGGAGCAUGUGAUUUAAUUCGAAGCAACGCGAAGAACCUUACCAGGUCUUGACAUCCCGAUGCUAUUUCUAGAGAUAGAAAGUUACUUCGGUACAUCGGUGACAGGUGGUGCAUGGUUGUCGUCAGCUCGUGUCGUGAGAUGUUGGGUUAAGUCCCGCAACGAGCGCAACCCCUAUUGUUAGUUGCCAUCAUUCAGUUGGGCACUCUAGCGAGACUGCCGGUAAUAAACCGGAGGAAGGUGGGGAUGACGUCAAAUCAUCAUGCCCCUUAUGACCUGGGCUACACACGUGCUACAAUGGUUGGUACAACGAGUUGCGAGUCGGUGACGGCAAGCUAAUCUCUUAAAGCCAAUCUCAGUUCGGAUUGUAGGCUGCAACUCGCCUACAUGAAGUCGGAAUCGCUAGUAAUCGCGGAUCAGCACGCCGCGGUGAAUACGUUCCCGGGCCU
rnacentral:rRNA from 1 species